GACGAACGCUGGCGGCGUGCUUAACACAUGCAAGUCGAACGGUAAGGCCCCUUCGGGGGUACACGAGUGGCGAACGGGUGAGUAACACGUGCGCAACCUGCCCUUGACUCUGGAAUAACAGUUGGAAACAGCUGCUAAUACUGGAUAUUCAUCGUCUCCUUCCUGGGGGGUGGUGGAAAGCUCCGGCGGUCAGGGAUGGGCUCGCGGCCUAUCAGCUUGUUGGUGAGGGAAUGGCUCACCAAGGUUUCGAGGGGUAGCCGGCCUGAGAGGGCGACCGGCCACACUGGGACGGAGAUACGGCCCAGACUCCUACGGGAGGCAGCAGUGGGGAAGAUUGCACAAUGGGCGCAAGCCUGAUGCAGCAACGCCGCGUGCGGGAUGACGGCCUUCGGGUUGUAAACCGCUUUCAGUAGGGACGAAGGGUGACUGACGGUACCUACAGAAGAAGGACCGGCUAACUACGUG
rnacentral:rRNA from 1 species